rnacentral:rRNA from 1 species
GAUGAACGCUGGCGGCGUGCCUAAUACAUGCAAGUCGAGCGAACGGACGAGAAGCUUGCUUUUCUGAUGUUAGCGGCGGACGGGUGAGUAACACGUGGAUAACCUACCUAUAAGACUGGGAUAACUUCGGGAAACCGGAGCUAAUACCGGAUAAUAUUUUGAACCGCAUGGUUCAAAAGUGAAAGACGGUCUUGCUGUCACUUAUAGAUGGAUCCGCGCUGCAUUAGCUAGUUGGUAAGGUAACGGCUUACCAAGGCAACGAUGCAUAGCCGACCUGAGAGGGUGAUCGGCCACACUGGAACUGAGACACGGUCCAGACUCCUACGGGAGGCAGCAGUAGGGAAUAUUCCGCAAUGGGCGAAAGCCUGACGGAGCCACGCCGCGUGAGUGAAGAAGGUCUUCGGAUCGUAAAACCCUGUUAUUAGGGAAGAACAUAUGUGUAAGUAACUGUGCACAUCUUGACGGUACCUAAUCAGAAAGCCACGGCUAACUACGUG